UACUUUUGAAAAUACCUGGGCCUUGUCUACACUGGCAAGGUACUGCACAGUAAAGCAGUUUUCUGCCGUGUAACUCCCGAGGUGUACACACUGCCAAGCCACUUAGUGCGCAGAAACUCCUCAGUUGCAGUGCUGUAAAAAAACCAUCUCG